UGGCUCGAGGACGAACGCUGGCGGCAUGCCUAACACAUGCAAGUCGAACGGGGGUAGCAAUACCCUAGUGGCGAACGGGUGAGUAACACAUAAGCAAUCUGCCCUUCACAGGGGGAUAACAGCGGGAAACUGCUGCUAAUACCGCAUAAGACCACGGUACCGCAUGGUACAGGGGUAAAAACGAAUCAGUGGUGAAGGAUGAGCUUAUGUCCCAUUAGCUAGUUGGUGAGAUAACAGCCCACCAAGGCGACGAUGGGUAGCCGACUUGAGAGGGUGAUCGGCCACACUGGAACUGAGACACGGUCCAGACUCCUACGGGAGGCAGCAGUGGGGAAUAUUGGGCAAUGGAGGAAACUCCUUACCCAGCAAUGCCGCGUGAGUGAAGAAGGUCUUCGGAUUGUAAAGCUCUUUGAUUGGGGACGAAGAAGGUGACGGUACCCAAAGAACAAGCCCCGGCUAACUACGUGCCAGCAGCAGC
rnacentral:rRNA from 1 species